rnacentral:miRNA from 2 species
AUCCUAUCUGCUGUGGUUUAUG